UACGUAGGGUGCGAGCGUUGUCCGGAAUUAUUGGGCGUAAAGGGCUCGUAGGCGGUUCGUCACGUCGGGAGUGAAAACUCGGAGCUUAACUCCGAGCCUGCUUCCGAUACGGGCAGACUAGAGGUAGGCAGGGGAGAGCGGAACUCCUGGUGUAGCGGUGAAAUGCGUAGAUAUUGGGAGGAACACCAGUGGCGAAGGCGGCUCACUGGACCGGAACUGACGCUGAGGCGCGAAAGCGUGGGGAGCAAACAGG
rnacentral:rRNA from 1 species